AUUUCUAGACAGACCGAAACAGAUCACGGGAAAAUUUAGACGCGUUUCGUAACGGGCUAGAAAACAAGCUUAUCUGGAUUCCGAAAAUUUGAAUAAAUCCACUUCCGAUACGACGUCAUCCCACAAGGAACCGUAUUACGAUACGACGCUGGAAACGGAUCGCGGCAAGCGGUUCGAGUUUUUGCUGAAGCAGACGGAAAAUUUCGCUCACUAUGCAAACCGGAAAGAAGAACGAAUCGAGCAGAGCAGUCCUCCGGCCAAACCGAAAGCCAGCGGAACCAAGAGCAAACGGGAGAAGGCACCGUCGAUUAGCGAAGAUCCGGGAGACAACCGUCACCGGAAAACGGAACAGGAAGAGGAUGAGGAGCUGCUGGCUGAGGCGGCCACCAAGGCCAAAACGGUGUUCCGUUUCGAAGCGUCGCCACCGUACUUCAUGUUCGGCGAGAUGCGAGACUACCAGAUCCGUGGUUUAAAUUGGAUGAUUUCGCUGUACGAAAACGGAAUCAAUGGUAUUUUGGCCGAUGAGAUGGGUUUGGGAAAGACGUUGCAGACGAUUUCUCUGCUUGGUUUUUUGAAGAAUUUUUGGAAUAACCCGGGACCCCAUAUCGUCAUUGUUCCGAAAUCGACGCUGCAGAAUUGAUGGUGUCCCCGUCCGUUCACUGCUAAGGCUAGAACAGGCAAUCAAUGCCAUGGACGUAAGCCCGGAUCAUAGGAAAAUUGGACAUGCUCCAUCAGGAAGACGUCAGAAACAAAAAAAGAAAAUAAA